UAGGGAAUCUUCGGCAAUGGGGGCAACCCUGACCGAGCAACGCCGCGUGAGUGAAGAAGGUUUUCGGAUCGUAAAGCUCUGUUGUAAGAGAAGAACGUGUGUGAGAGUGGAAAGUUCACACAGUGACGGUAACUUACCAGAAAGGGACGGCUAACUACGUGCCAGCAGCCGCGGUAAUACGUAGGUCCCGAGCGUUGUCCGGAUUUAUUGGGGGUAAAGCGAGCGCAGGCGGUUUAAUAAGUCUGAAGUUAAAGGCAGUGGCUUAACCAUUGUUCGCUUUGGAAACUGUUAAGCUUGAGUGCAGAAGGGGAGAGUGGAAUUCCAUGUGUAGCGGUGAAAUGCGUAGAUAUAUGGAGGAACACCGGUGGCGAAAGCGGCUCUCUGGUCUGUAACUGACGCUGAGGCUCGAAAGCGUGGGGAGCAAACAGG
rnacentral:rRNA from 1 species